rnacentral:rRNA from 1 species
UACAGAGGUCUCAAGCGUUGUUCGGAUUCAUUGGGCGUAAAGGGUGCGUAGGUGGCGGGGUAAGUCAGGUGUGAAAUUUCGGAGCUUAACUCCGAAACUGCAUUUGAUACUGCCUUGCUUGAGGACUGGAGAGGAGACUGGAAUUCACGGUGUAGCAGUGAAAUGCGUAGAGAUCGUGAGGAAGACCAGUGGCGAAGGCGGGUCUCUGGACA